rnacentral:rRNA from 1 species
GACGAAGGGGGCUAGCGUUGUUCGGAAUUACUGGGCGUAAAGCGCGUGUAGGCGGUUAUCCAAGUCAGGUGUGAAAGCCUUGAGCUCAACUCAAGAAAUGCACUUGGUACUGGGUGACUAGAGGACCGGAGAGGAUAGUGGAAUUCCCAGUGUAGUGGUGAAAUACGUAGAGAUUGGGAAGAACACCAGUGGCGAAGGCGGCUAUCUGGAUGGUUUCUGACGCUAAGACGCGAAAGCGUGGGGAGCAAACAGG